rnacentral:rRNA from 1 species
UACGUAGGGUGCGAGCGUUAAUCGGAAUUACUGGGCGUAAAGCGUGCGCAGGCGGUUUUUUAAGCCAGGUGUGAAAUCCCCGGGCUCAACCUGGGAAUGGCAUUUGGGACUGCAAGGCUGGAGUUUGGCAGAGGAGACUGGAAUUCCUGGUGUAGCAGUGAAAUGCGUAGAUAUCAGGAGGAAUACCGAUGGCGAAGGCAGGUCUCUGGGCUAUAACUGACGCUCAUGCACGAAAGCGUGGGGAGCAAACAGG